AAAUUGAAGAGUUUGAUCAUGGCUCAGAUUGAACGCUGGCGGCAGGCCUAACACAUGCAAGUCGAGCGGCAGCACAGAGAAACUUGUUUCUCGGGUGGCGAGCGGCGGACGGGUGAGUAAUGCCUGGGAAAUUGCCCUG
rnacentral:rRNA from 1 species